AGUCAACCUACCCUAAGAUUGAGGAUAACCUCGGGAAACUGAGGCUAAACCUCAAUAGAUAAAGGAGGCUGGAAUGCGCCUUUGUUGAAACGUAAGGUCUUAGGACGGGACUGCGGCCGAUUAGGUAGUUGUUGAGGUAACUACUCAACAAGCCAAUUAUCGGUAAGGGCUCUUAACGGAGAGGCCCUGAGAGGGACUCUGAGAUACUAGUCCCAGCUCUAUGGAGUGCGGCAGGCGGGAGAAUUCUUCAAUGUCCGAAAGGAUGAAAGAGGAAUCCAAAGUGCUUCUCAAUUUGAGAGGCUUUUGUCUACUUUAAAAAGAUGGGCGAAUAAGGACUGGGCAAGACUGGUGCCAGCCGCCGCGGUAAUCCCAGCAGUCCGAGUCGUGGCCACAUUUAUUAGGUCUAAAACAUUCGUAGCUUGCUCUGUAAGUUCUUUGUGAAAUUGUUGCACUUAAUGCAACAGCGUGCAAGGGAGACUGCAAAGCUAGAGACCGGGAGACACAACGAGUACAUUCAAGGUAGCGGUAAAAUGUUUUAAUCUUGGAUGGACUGACAAUGGCGAAGGCACGUUGUGAGAACGGAUCUGACAGUGAGGAAUGAAGGCCCGGGGCGCAAAAUGGAUUAGAUACCCAUGUAGUCCGGGCAGUAAACACUGAUUACUAAACAUUGUGUCCUCCUCGAGGGGAUGCAGUGCUGAAGGGAAGCUGAAGAGUAAUCUACCUGGGGAGUAUAGCCGCAAGGCCGAAACU
rnacentral:rRNA from 1 species